AAGUAAAAAUCGUAACAAGGUUUCCGUAGGUGAACCUGCGGAAGGAUCAUUACCGAGUUUAUUGGGGGGUUGAGCUGGUCUUUGACAUGUGCUCGCCCCUCUAAUCCACUCUAUACACCUGUGCACCAAUUGUGGGUAUACGAGCAUGGAAGGGGGCUGGCUAACGGCCUCUGAAAGUGCGCAUAUACUCAUGUUUAUACACACUAUGUAUGUCUCAGAAUGUCUACUUUGCGUUAACUCGCAUAUAAUACAACUUUCAACAACGGAUCUCUUGGCUCUCGCAUCGAUGAAGAACGCAGCGAAAUGCGAUAAGUAAUGUGAAUUGCAGAAUUCAGUGAAUCAUCGAAUCUUUGAACGCACCUUGCGCUCCUUGGUAUUCCGAGGAGCAUGCCUGUUUGAGUGUCAUGAAUCUCUCAAUACUAGAGCUUGUUAAUUCAAGCACUAGUCAUUGGACUUGGGAGCUUGCCGGCCUAGUCGGCUCUCCUUGAAUGCAUUAGCUUGGACCUUUUUCACGAGGAUCCUCGGUGUGAUAAUUAUCUACGCCGUCAGAGAAUCGUGUGGCGCGUGCUACCCUGCUUUAUUGCAGCUGCUGUAGCCGCGGGGGGGCGAGCUUAUAAUCGUCUUCGGACAACUAUUAUGACAUC
rnacentral:rRNA from 1 species